GUCUGUGAAGAUGCGGACUUCCUGAACCUGGACAGAAAGACGCUAUGAAGCUUCACUGUUCCAUGGGAUAGCUUUGGGCCUUUCCUGCGCAGCUUAGGUGGAGCCUUCCGCGGGGGGGGGGGGGGGGGGGGGGGGGAGCCAUCAGUGAGACCACUCUGCAAGGGCUAGAAUUCUAACCUUGUGUCAAGACCUAGGGGCCAAGGGACAGUCUCAGGCAGACAGUUCCUAUGGGGCGUUUCCUCGGGGCCAGACGAAGAUUAGACCUCGAGUACAAAGGCAGAAGGAAGCUUGACUGCAAGAGCCACCCGUCGAGCAGGGACGAAAGUCGGCUGUAGUGAUUUGACGGUGCCGUGUGGAAGGACCGUCGCUCAACAGAUAAAAGUUACUCAAGGAUAACAAGUUGAUCUUCCCAAGAGCUCAGGAUUUAUGUGUGAUUGGGGACAACAAGCAUGCUACCUUUUUUAAUUCAUU
rnacentral:ncRNA from 1 species